rnacentral:ribozyme from 13 species
UAAAAGAGAAAGAAAGAAGGAGGAGAAGAACAACCAGAAAGAAAAAGGGAUUGUUGGUUUUGUAAAUAUUUACUGAAGAAAUAGAUUGUUGUUCAAAAUUCUUUUUUUUUUUUUUUUUUUUUUUU